AAAACAAAUUAGUUAAACUCUAUCGUACGAAGGAACCCGAAACCCCAAGCCUUCAGAAUACCAAACCAGGAUUUGAAAGUUCCAAGUUGGAACCCUAGCCCACCGUUGCUCCCUUCUUCUCCGUCUCCGGGGACCGGCGACCGGCUACCGGCGACUGGAGACUGGGGACUGUUGGAGACAGUUAAUAGACUCAAUACCUCUUUCUCCCUUCCUCUUCUCCGUUUCUCUUCCAAUCAAUUGCAGAAACCCGUAUCGGCUAUUGCAGCGGCGGGAGCAUUGUUCCUUGAUUGCAUCGGCAGUCUGCGAAUCUCUUUUCGAGUCUGAUAUUCAUAUAUGGUUUUGAAACUCAGAUUGAUACGGCUAUUGAAUGCUAAGAGAAUCUCAAAUGUUCUGUUCUUGUUCCAUCCCUGUUACCCAUUGUCCUAUGCAGCAGCACUCGCAUCUCUGCAAGCUUCACCAGAUAAUGGGCUCGAGAACAAGACCAAAAACUUCAAUUUCAAUUCUCUAUUCCUCUCCUGCACAAAAGUCCACCUCACCAAAUGCCUCCACGCACUUCUUUUGGUUUCUGGGAAUGCCCAAAACAUCUUCUUUUCGACCAGGCUUGUCAACCUAUAUGCCAAUGUUGGCGAUAUCGUAUCUUCUGGCCUUUCCUUCAAACAGAUUCAUAAGAAAAAUAUCUUUUCCUGGAAUUCGAUGAUCUCUAGUUAUGUUCGUAAUGGUUGUUUCCAUGAAGCCCUGGACUGUUACUACCAGUUGCUCUCAACAUCGAGUGUUCGACCUGAUUUCUUUACUUUCCCUGUGGUGUUGAAGGCUUGUAAUGAUCUAGGUGAUGGCAGGAAGAUUCAUUGUUGGGUUUUGAAAUUGGGUUUUGACCCGGAUGUCUUCGUGGCUGCUUCUUUGAUUCACAUGUAUUCAAGGCUUGGGCUUGUGGGUGAUGCCCAUAGGGUGUUUGAUAAAAUGCAUGUUCGAGAUUUGGGGUCAUGGAAUGCAAUGAUUUCGGGAUUUUGUCAAAAUGGGAAGGCUGCAGAGGCGUUGGAUGUGUUUGAGGAUAUGAGUUGGGAAGGAGUGAAGAUGGAUUCAGUUACCGUCUCGAGUGUUCUUCCUGUUUGUGCUCCUUUGGACAAUCUUUUGAUGGGAAUGUUGAUUCACGUGUAUGUUAUCAAGCAUGGGUUGGAUUUUGAUGUGUUUGUGUCCAAUGCUUUGAUUAACAUGUAUGCCAAAUUAGGCUGCUUGGGGUCUGCAAGUCGUAUCUUUGAUCAAAUGUUGGUGAGAGAUUUGGUAUCAUGGAACUCAAUGAUUGCGGCACAUGAGCAGAACAAUGACAUAGUUAUGGCUCUUGACCUUUUUGUUGAGAUGAAGCAGAACAGUUUUCAACCCGAUGUAUUGACCCUUGUGAGCUUAGCAUCCAUAGUUGCUCAAUCUGGGGAUUGUCAAAACAGCAGGGCUGUACAUGGUUUUAUCAUGAGGCGGGGUUGGCUUGCUGAAGAUACUGUCAUUGGCAAUGCAAUUGUUGAUAUGUAUGCUAAAUUGAGCAAUAUUGACUGUGCAAGAAAAGUCUUCGAAAGAAUGCAGGUCAAAGAUGUGAUUUCGUGGAAUACUUUAAUCACAGGUUAUACUCAAAAUGGUCUUGCAAGUGAAGCUGUCGAGGUUUACCACUUGCUUGAAGGCUGCAGGGGAAUACUACCAGACCAAGGAACAUUGGUAAGCAUUCUGCCAGCGUACUCCCACUUGGGAGCCUUGCAACAUGGUAUGAGAAUCCAUGGACGAGCAAUUAAGACCGGCCUCCAUAUGGAUGUUUUCGUGGGUACUUGUCUUAUAGACAUGUACUCCAAAUGUGGGAGGUUAGAUGAUGCAAUGCACUUAUUCCUUGAAGUGCCUCAGAGGAGUUCGGUCCCAUGGAAUGCUAUAAUAUCAAGUCACGGAAUUCAUGGACAUGGUGAGAAAGCACUAAUGCUUUUCCAGAAAAUGCAAAAUGAGGGGGUUAAGCCUGAUCAUGUCACCUUUGUAUCUCUGUUGUCAGCCUGUAGUCAUGCAGGCUUGGUUGACCAGGGACAAUGGUGCUUUCAGUUGAUGCAGAAGCGCUAUGGGAUUGUGCCUAGUUUGAAGCAUUAUGGGUGCAUGGUGGACUUGCUUGGUCGAGCAGGGCAAUUGGACUGUGCCUAUGAGUUUAUAAAGAACAUUCCUGUUAAACCCGAUGCUUCCAUCUGGGGUGCUCUUCUUGGUGCUUGCAGGAUUCAUGGCAAUGUUGAAUUGGGGACCUUUGCUUCAGAUCGCUUGUUUGAAGUGGAUUCGGAGAAUGUUGGCUACUAUAUUUUAUUAUCAAAUAUAUAUGCUAACAUUGGGAAGUGGGAGGUGGUCGACAAUGUAAGAUCACUGGCCAAAUCUAGAGGAUUGAAGAAGACCCCUGGUUGGAGCUCAAUUGAGCUGAAAAAUAAAGUCAGUGUAUUUUAUACUGGGAAUCGGUCUCACCCACAAAUUGAGGAGAUCUACAAUGAGUUGGGGGUACUAUUGGCUAAGAUGAAGAGCCUUGGUUAUGUGCCCGAUUUUAGCUUCGUGUUACAGGAUGUCGAGGAAGAUGAGAAGGAGCAUAUCCUCAUGAGUCAUAGUGAGAGGCUGGCUAUUGCAUAUGGGAUUAUUAACACCCCGCCCAAUGCUCCUAUUCAGAUUUUCAAGAAUUUGCGGGUUUGUGGGGAUUGUCAUAAUGCUACCAAGCUCAUAUCAAGGAUCACGGUGAGGGAGAUUGUUGUGAGGGAUUCAAAUCGUUUCCAUCAUUUCAAGGAUGGGAAUUGUUCUUGUGGAGAUUAUUGGUGAUGCUAUUCUUCAAUUAUGCUGGAAAAUUACAAGUUGAUCAUUGAUGACAUAAUCAAAGAACUAUCUGGAAAUGGUUGGCUUGUUUUUUUUUCCUCUUGCUGCCAAGAGGAACAGUUUGGUGCUUUUCCCUUUGGAAGGAUAAAUGUGCCAUCUGAUGAGAAGGGAGGCAUAGUGACCAAGUUUAUCAGAUACAGAUCAAGGCAUUGACUGCGCCGGGUAUUGAUUUUGAGGUUGCUGAGGUGAUUAUGAUGCCAUGGCAUUUGGGUGUAUCAUUGUGGACUGGAUAAAAUGGGGUCUGUGUUCCCUGAUUCUGUGAAGGUUGCGGAUUUUAUUGUUGAUGGGGAGUGGAAAAUUCUAGCGGUACAGUAUGAUAUUUUGAAGAACAUCUGUGCUUUGAUCCCUGAGAUUCCGCUGCCUUCUAUGGCUUGUGAGGUCAAGCGAAUUUGGUGCCCCUCUCAGGCAGGAAAGUUUUCUAUUCAAGCUACUUGGGAGUGUGUUUGGUUGAAGCAUCUCAAGGUCACAUGGUCAUCUUUGAUUUGGCAUAAAGAUACACUGCCGGAACUGGUGAAAAUUUGGGAGGUGGAAGCCAGAGAAGAUACAAAGCUAAAUGAGUUUCGAGAGGUGGUGCUGCAAUUGGCUGCUGCAUUGAAUGCUGAUCAUAGGGAAGACAUUUUCCUACACAAGCUUGUACAGAUCAGGACAAUUGGAGAAGCUGUUGAUUAUGGUGAGAAUGCCUUACAGAAAUUUCAUGUAUGAGUUGGAGAUUGUUAUGUGGACUCCAUGUCUCCGCUUGCUCAACAGCCUUGUAAGACCAUUGUUCACAAGAUGUUUAUUUUCCAGUUACACUGACACAAAUCCAAUUGGAGAUUAUCUAUUCUUUGCAUUUUGAUUAAACAUUAGAUUCAA